rnacentral:rRNA from 1 species
AGGGUUUGAUUCUGGCUCAGGAUGAACGCUGGCGGCGUGCUUAACACAUGCAAGUCGAACGGGAAUUACUUUAUUGAAACUUCGGUCGAUUUAAUUUAAUUCUAGUGGCGGACGGGUGAGUAACGCGUGGGUAACCUGCCUUAUACAGGGGGAUAACAGUCAGAAAUGGCUGCUAAUACCGCAUAAGCGCACAGAGCUGCAUGGCUCAGUGUGAAAAACUCCGGUGGUAUAAGAUGGACCCGCGUUGGAUUAGCUUGUUGGUGGGGUAACGGCCCACCAAGGCGACGAUCCAUAGCCGGCCUGAGAGGGUGAACGGCCACAUUGGGACUGAGACACGGCCCAG